CGGGUAGCAAUACCCAGUCGAGCGGCGGACGGGUGAGUAACGCGUGGAUAAUCUACCUUUUGGUGGGGGAUAACCCGGGGAAACUCGGGCUAAUACCGCAUAAGAUCGCAAGAUGAAAGGGGCGUUAAGUCCCGCCGGAAGAGGAGUCCGCGUCCGAUUAGCUAGUUGGUAGGGUAAUGGCCUACCAAGGCGACAAUCGGUAGCCGGCCUGAGAGGGUGAUCGGCCACACUGGAACUGAGACACGGUCCAG
rnacentral:rRNA from 1 species